ACUGUACUCCUUCCGCCCCAAAUACUUGUUGGAGAGAUGGAUAAAAUUGGAUGUAUCUAUGACUAGUAUACGUCUAGAUAUAUCCAUUUCUCUGACAAGUAUUUCGGGCCGGAUGGAGUAUAAU
rfam:Triticum aestivum genome assembly, contig: Triticum_aestivum_CS42_TGACv1_scaffold_320447_4BL